ACAAAAUUAUUAACAUAAGCUGCAUUAUAAUUAAGGCAUUUCCGUUCCUUCCUCUCUCAAUCUCUCAUUCGCGUUCUUACCUCUCUCUUCUAAAGCUUCUCAGCUGUAGCGCCGUCGCCACUCCGAUCAUUGCAACCUCCCUCCUCUCCACGGCGCGACGGCAACGACUCAGCUAUUUUCAUCUUGGGCUUAAUAGAUUAAGGUAUCUUCUUCACAAGCAGUUAGAUCUUCUCUUAUCUUCACCCUGGCUGCCCUCAUCGCCAUCUCUGGUAUCUUCAAGCCGUAUUUUUAUUUUUUUGCUUUCCAGAUGGUUUCUCUUUUCUAUCUGAUUCAUCUGCAGGUUAAGCAUGCUCACAGUAAGUCAUAAAUUCAAAAUUAAUCAUUCAAAAUUAAAGUGAAUCUUUUGGAUUUAUUUCAAUUCAAAUGAUUUUGGAACUGCCACAUUGUGCUGCCACCAUGGUCCUUCCGAGCCAAGUCCAUCUCUUCUUCCCUAAUUUUGAAACUGUUUGGAGGCUGAAAAAGGAAUCCCAUUAAUUUUUCCUUUUCAUAGUUACUCUUUCAUUCAGUUACAUCUUGAUUUAUUUAUAUGCUUUCAAGAUAGAAAUUAAUAUCAACAAUUUAUUCCUGUUGCGUGAAUUAAGAUCAGCCAAGAUAUGCUGACCUGCAAUUCAAAUUUGAAUUUGAAUAAUAAAUGUCUCUCUAAUUAUAUUUUGUUUGUUUGCACAGGUACCCGAAUUCAUGCCCCUAGCCAUUAACAUGCUAUUUCAGUUCAAGGCAUGUAUGAAAAAAUGUUGAGUUUCUUUGAAAAUAUAUGAGUUAUGGGAUUUGGCCUUAACAGAUGACAAAGAUUUUGCCUCACCUUUUUUCCUUUAGUGGCUGCACCUGCAGCUGCUAAUUUGACAUGUUACAGGCUGAUAUUCCAUGGUGGCAAAAUAUGAUGAUGAUACCUCAUUUGUAGCAGCCAAAGGUUGUGAUAUUCCAUGGUCUGUUUACAACGUGGGCAUUUUUUGUAAGAACAAGUUUCAUAAAGUAAUUGGUUGCUGGUAGUCCUUAAGAACGUCAACUAUUGGUCAAUGAAAUGCUUGGCACCUCUGAUGAGAAUGAGCCCUUUUACAGGUACCCUUUCAACUCUUAUUGUUCAGGAUUUUAGUUUUACUGAGGUUGGAGAUUGUCUGCUACUCAAACACAUAUAUCAAAUCACUUUUUUGUUUGUUUGGUGGUCUCCCUUCAUGAAGUGAGUACUAAUCACAUGUCCAUAUAGUUCAAGUUCGUUUAUCACUCAUACUUUUAUUCAACUUUGGUUUGAUGGAUGAUGGAUCGGAUCUAUCAUUCUAUCCUCCCCUUUGUUUGAGCAAGUAUUUGAAGAAUACAAUAUACCACCUGAAUCAUCAUAUGAACCAAUAUAUCCGCUUAUAAGAAUAGUUAUGCACAUGCCCUUCUCUGACAUGUGACCUGCCCUGAAAUUGCUUUUCCCAUGGUUUUGUGAAAGUCUCUUGGAUAUAGAUAGCUUUACUUCAUUGCAAUACUGCUGCCCCUGAUUAUUUUUAAAGUGUGAUAUAGAAUUUUUACCAGUAGAAGCAGUGACUGAGUUUGAGCAUUGAGUAUUUGAUGUACCAAUUAUGAGUUCGAGCAUCAUUUAACUUUUCUGGAUAGUGUUUGACAUACAGUCUGUUAUGGACAUCCUUUCUUUGGGCCUUUGUUGCUAGAAAAGUAAGAAUGUAAUACAUUUGGUGAGGUGUUUUCUACUCAUGCCAGUUAAGUAAGCAUGCCAAGUGCAAUGUUCACAAGUCAUAAGCUGAUUUUUCUAUUUGAUAGUCAGCAUAGCAUUCCUUGGAGUUUUCCACUUAGUACUGAAAUUUGAACAGAGACUAGCCAAAACAAGUUUAAUAGUGGAGGGGAAGAAAAGCAAGCUUCAUCACCUGCAAUUUAUAGACAUAAUAAUUAUGUCUGAUUUUAUGCAUGACACUUUGAUAAAGAUGAAGAUAUCUCUGUACAUUUUCUAUUGAUGUAAUUAUAGCCCUUGCUUUAUACUUUUCUAGAAUUUUGCUUAAACUUAUGGUUUGAUUUAGAUUAAUAUAUGAGUGCUACUUUGACAGUUUUAUUUUUUUUUGGUAAAUUUUCAUUAUUUUUUAGUUUUCAUAUCCUUUCCUUUAUCAUCGCAGCUCUCUAACACAAUAUUAAAGAAAUAGCGUUGGACACACUUGCAUGAUGUUCUGGUGUUGUACUUUAAAUAAUAUGUGCACUGAAAAUGAUAAAGACUCUCUAAUUUGAUGUUCUUCAUGGAAUUGAUAACUUAGUAUUGUUUUUUUUUUCUUGAUUAAGUUCUUAUAGCUUUAAGAUUAGUGUCUUGGUUUCAAAUUGACUUUUUCUUCUAUAGAAUUUAUCGAAUAGUUACCAAAAUGAGGUGUCACUUUAUUUGACCCACAAAUUUCCUUUGCUUCCACAGUAGAGACUAAUAUCUUGCCUUGAUUGUGAAUUUAUGAUUUUGAAAAUGAUCAUACUACUUGACAGCAUGACUUUCAACUGAUGCUUAGGUGUUUGGAAGACAGUUAGCCAUCCACCGUUCAUGAAGUGUACUUGGGUUCAAUUUAGUCCAAAUUUCAUACCUGCUCUUAUUAUUAGAUCUCAUAUUAUAACUCAAUGCCAUCUAAUUAAAUGUAUGAUAAAUGUUUUUUAUUACUUACGAAUAUCAUUUUAUGCAAAGUCUGAAGAUCUGUUUUUUCUUUUUGCUCUAAUUCAUUCUCUUUGACGCAUGAUUAUUGAGUUUAACCAACAUUUGGUCUUUUCAGAUUCAUGAGCUAAAUAUGGACACGAAAAUUUCAUUCAAGGCAAAAGCUAGAACCAAAAUGCUAUUGGAAGAUGCUAUCAUAUAAUUGUGUAUUCCUUUUUCUAUAGGUGUGCCUCUAUGUUUAAGUCCCACGGGUUGUCCUGGAGUGAUGAUUUCUUUUCUAGCCUAUAAGCAACAAAAUUUGUGUUUAAGAAAGCUCAACUCUUCAACCCAACAUUUCCUGCCAGCAAAGAGAGGAUGUUUGGUAUCCGCCAAAGAACAAUCGUAAUAGAGAUAUUGGAGCAAGCUGAUAGAAGAGUCUUUUAUUGGGGAGGCGUCUCUUUCUCUUGCGAUGACAUGAGGAUGAAUUUUGUAUGAAAUUGUUGUACAUAUAAAAUGGAGGAUGACUUUCAUUUUUCAUUCAAUAUAGAAAUCAUAUUUAAUUA